UUCUUCGCUCCAUUACGUUGUUCGACUUUUAUUGCAUCAUUUUCCUUCGCUUCAUUACCUCGUUCGAUUUUUAUUGCAUCAUUUUCCUUCUUCGCUUCAUUAUGUUGUUCGACUUUUAUUGCAUCAUCUUCCUUCUUCGCUUCAACGUAGACUUUUAUUGGGUGGGUGUAGGGCUUGAUUGAUCGUCGAGUACGUCGUCGUUUCGCUUGUUUUUGGAUGAUUUUUUGGCAGAAGAAUCUCCCCCAGCGCAGAGGAAACAACCCAUGCCGGUUUUUAUAUAUUUGUGCACUUGAUGAUUGUUUGUUUGUUUAGAAAUGAUGAUAAUAAUAAUAGUGGAAAUUAGG
rnacentral:lncRNA from 1 species